GCUAGGAAGAGGAAGAAAUGGGUGCCCAAGAGCAGUCGGCGUGAGAACAUGGAGGAAAACCCGAAUUAUCUUUACCCCUGAAAUUUCAAGGGUUUAGAUCAAUUCCAGUGUUUUCCCGAUGCCUCUCAUGCCUAUUGUUCUUAUGCGCUCCUUCCUCUUCCUUCGUGCU
rnacentral:pre_miRNA from 1 species